GUGGGGAAUAUUGCACAAUGGGGGAAACCCUGAUGCAGCGAUGCCGCGUGGAGGAAGAAGGUUUUCGGAUUGUAAACUCCUGUCUUAAAGGACGAUAAUGACGGUACUUUAGGAGGAAGCUCCGGCUAACUACGUGCCAGCAGCCGCGGUAAUACGUAGGGAGCGAGCGUUGUCCGGAAUUACUGGGUGUAAAGGGAGCGUAGGCGGGAUCGCAAGUCAGAUGUGAAAUACAUGGGCUUAACCCAUGGGCUGCAUUUGAAACUGUGGUUCUUGAGUGAAGUAGAGGUAAGCGGAAUUCCUGGUGUAGCGGUGAAAUGCGUAGAUAUCAGGAGGAACACCGGUGGCGAAGGCGGCUUACUGGGCUUUUACUGACGCUGAGGCUCGAAAGCGUGGGGAGCAAACAGG
rnacentral:rRNA from 1 species